rnacentral:lncRNA from 1 species
GGGGCCCGGGAGCGGGAGCCGCGAAGGGGCGGCGGCCCCCGUGCCUCCCAGGGCCCCCGUGCCUCCCAGGGCCCCCGUUCCCGCCGAGCGCAGGAGGCUGCGGCGGCGUCUAGACGCGGACGUGCCACCUUUAACCCUCCAGCCCCAGAGUCAAUGUUUGCCAGGGCCCCAGGGGCGGGCCCGAGGCCAGCGCGCCGCCCGGGCAGAGGCCGCGCUGGAAACGUCCCAGCCAGCGUGCUUGGGAACGUGAUCUUGUUGCGCGAACGCACGGGGCAGGAAAGGGUCGCGUGGGCGGGGAUGGUGCGUGGAUGCCGGAGCCACGGGCGCUUGGGCUCCGGAGCACACGCGCGAGCGGAUGAAGGACGGGGUGGCCGAAGCAGUGGAUGCGUGAAGGUUCUGAAACGCGCGUGCACGUGCGCGUGGAUGCCUGAGGUCAGGAGUGUGCGCAUGCGUGCCUGCCUAAGUGGUCUGGACAUCUAUCUGAAAACCGUAAUUCAAAAAGCUCCCAUGCACCCCAAAGUUCAUAGCAGCACUAUUCACAAUCGCCAAGGCAUGGAAACAACCUACAAAUCCAUCGACAGAGGAAUGGAUAAAGAAGAGGUGGGUCAUAUGCAUAGCGGAAUAUUACUGGGCCAUGAAAAAGGAUGAAAAAUGACAUUUGCAGCAACAAGGAUGGACCAAGAGCCAUCCAUACCAAAUGAAGUCAGACACAGAAAGACAUCUCCUUUGCCAUCCCUUUCAUGUGGACUCUCAUAGAAAAUGAUACAAAAGAACUUAUUUAUAAAACAGAAACAGACUCACAGAUUUCACACAAUCAAAGUUAGGGUUACACGGUUACCAGAGGGGAAGAGGGAAAAAUUGGGAGGAUGGAAUUCACAGAGGCGUGCUGCUGUAUAUAAAAUGGAUAAAUAACCAGGACCUACUGUCCAGCCCAGAGAAGUGCUGUCAACAUGCUGUGAUAACCUCGAUGGGAAAAGAAAUGGAUAUAGGUAUGGAGGUGACUGGUGUGCUUUGCUGUAUACCCGAAACUAACACAACAUUGUAAGUCAACUCUAGUCCAAUAAGACUUUAAAAAGAAAAGAAAUCGCAUCCAGGUGACAGACCUGGGCGAGGUCUGCUGGAAAACACAAGGGCAGGGCCCCAGCUCAUGGCACUCCGUCUCCAAAACGCACAUCUGUUCGGCGAUGAAUAUAUGGCUGGUCUAAGGCAGCAGGCAAAGGACUCGGGCCUCUCUGCCCGUCCCCCCCCCCCCCCCCCCCCCCCGUGGGCUGUGUGCACAGCCUGGUCCUUGCGGAGCAGCGGUACAAUGUCUGCAGGCCAGACUGAGCCUCUGGAUAUCUUGACAACGUCGCUAAAACGGAGCCAUCGGCUGGGGGAAGAAGAGGGUUUCUUCAACUCAAAGGGCAUAGGGAAGUGCAAGAAUGACAUUCCGGGCUGGCGGGGGGUGCGGGUGGCAGUGGUUCCUGGCAUGGCCUUGAUGGGUUGGGGACAAAGUGGGCGGCGCCUUAAUCGCCAAGUCGAAACCCUGACAUUGAGAAAGCAGAGUCUUCCAACCUCAUCCCAAAACCGUGUCCUGCUGAUAAAGAAUCCUAUGGCGUCCCCGUCGUGGCUCAGUGGAUCAAGAACCUGACGUAGUCUCUGUGAGGAUGCAGGUUCCAUCCCUGGCCUCACUCAGUGGGUUAAGGAUCCCGCGUUGCCACAAGCUGCGGUGUAGGUGGCAGAUGUGUCUCGAGUUGGGUGCUGCUGUGGCUGUGGCUCUGAUUUGACCCCUAGCCUGGGAACUUCCAUAUGCCUCGGGUGCGACCCUUAAAAGGGAAAAAAAAAAAAAAUCCUAGGAAUUCCAUGUUCUACCCAGCGCUCAGGAGGGUGGGUAAUAAUACCAGCUGUUGAUAAAUUUGUAAGAGGAUCACCUAACUCUCACCUCCCCAAGCCCAGCACGCUGGGCUGUGUUUGGCUCCCAGCUCUCCCUGCAUCUUUAUCCUCCAGAGUGAACCCUGGCUCAGCCCCGGACCAGGGGCUGCAUCAGGUUCCCCUGGGAAAUUCUGAGAAAUGCACCCUGUCCAAUUCCCCUUUGAUGUGCCCCUGCUGUCAGAAAACUGAGUCAGAGAGCUGGUCCCCUGUCUUAACAAGCACCGCCACCCAGGCACCCUCAAGCCAGAGAAGCGUGGUUGUGAUGGCUGACAUUUGGACUUGAUGGGAAGGUGACAGCUGGAGCAGGGUGGCUGGGGAGGGUGGGAAGCCAGUGGCAGCUGGAGAGAGGGAUGAGGGUAACCAGAGAGAUGCUGAAAGCAGAGAUUGAGGACCCUCCCCCCCAGCAGGCUGCCUCUAUCUCUGUGCACCACGCUCACCCCAGCCCUCCCACCAGCUCCAUCCUGUGUGCCCUCAAAGCAGGGCAUAAGGCACUAAGUCACAGGCAAUCUUCCCAGAGCCCCGGGCAAAGGGUAGGUCCAUUUUUAAACCCAGAGCAGGCAUCCUCCUGGGAGCGUUGCAGGUUCCUGUGUGUGCUGGUCUCCAGGAAGCUGGGAGAGGGGACACCUGGUGAGCUGUGGGCGCCAUCAGUGACAUCAGAGGGCGCGUCUCACCCCCGCGUGCCUGACCAAAGGUGUUUGCCAACUGCAAAAGGCAGCUGCCUUCUCGCAAGACACCAUUCAGAGAAAAUGGGUCUGUCAUUGGUACCCCAGACACAGAAAUGUUGGAAAGUGAACAGGACCCUUUGGGGGACGUGUUUCAAGGCCAGAAGCCAGAAAAAGAUGCCAACCAAUCGGAUCGCUGGAAGGCCUAUGAAACUGGAAAGGCCAGUGUGAGAAGGAGAAGAGAAAGCCUGCAGUGCGGGUGAAGACUCAGCAAAGAGGCAGCUGUUUGCCACCCAGGAAGGGAGCCGCACCCGGAACUCAUCUGCCCCCCACUGUGAACUCAGCCUCCCAGCCUCCAGAACGGGGGGUGGGGGUGGGGGAAGCAAAGGCCUGAUGCUGAACCCCCCAGGCGGUGCUGUUCGGUGAGAGCUGCCCAAGGGGAUUAAAACAUCUCCAUUCAUUCCU